AUAGGUCAGCCAAAAUUACCCAAAAACUUUGAGGAAGAUACUUGGGCAAUUUUGAAGGAUGCCAUUACAGCCAUAUUUCUCAAGCAGAAGCUUUCCUGCGAUGUUGAGAAACUUUAUCAGGCAGCUGGUGAUCUCUGUCUACACAAGCUAGGGGCAAAUUUAUACGAGCGAGUCAAGAAAGAAUGCGAAAUACAUAUAUCAGCAAAAAUCUCAGCAUUAGUGGGUCAAAGUCCAGACCUGGUUGUAUUUUUGUCGUUGGUGCAAAGAACAUGGCAAGAUUUUUGUGAUCAGAUGUUGAUUAUCCGUGGUAUCGCUUUACUUCUUGAUGUAAAAUAUGUCAAGAAUGUUGCAAAUCUUUCUUCAGUGUGGGAUAUGGGGUUGCAGCUGUUCCGCAAGCAUAUAUCAUUGUCUCCGGAGAUUGAACACAAAACCGUCACUGGUCUUUUAAGAUUGAUUGAGAGCGAGAGGCUUGGUGAAGCAAUAGAUAAGACAUUACUUAGUCAUCUUCUGAAGAUGUUUACUGAUCUUGGAAUGUAUUCCGAGACAUUCGAAAAGCCUUUUCUUGAAUGCACCUCUGAGUUUUAUGCUACUGAAGGUGUCAAAUAUUUGCAGCAGUCUGAUAUUCCAGAUUAUCUAAAGCACGCGGAGUCAAGGUUGCAAGAAGAACAUGAUAGGUGCAUUCUGUAUUUGGAAGCUAACACGAGGAAGCCACUUAUAGCAACUACAGAGAAACAAUUGCUACAGCGACACACAUCCGCAAUUAUUGAGAAGGGAUUUACAGUGCUUAUGGAAGCAAAUCGUGUAACGGACCUGUCGAGGAUGUACACCCUUUUUCAGAGGGUUGAUGCCAUUGAGAUGCUAAAGCAAGCACUUAGUUUAUAUAUCCGGGGCACAGGCCAGGGCAUUAUCAUGGAUGAAGAGAAAGACAAGGAUUUGGUUCCCUUUCUUCUGGAAUUUAAGGCAUCCCUUGAUAAAAUAUUGGAAGAAAGUUUUGCCAAAAAUGAGGCUUUCUCCAAUACUAUAAAGGAGUCAUUCGAGCAUCUUAUCAAUCUACGCCAGAAUCGACCGGCUGAAUUGAUCGCAAAGUUUCUCGAUGAGAAACUUCGAGCUGGAAAUAAAGGUACUUCAGAAGAAGAAUUGGAGGGAAUACUCGACAAAGUUUUGGUUCUGUUCCGAUUUAUACAAGGAAAAGAUGUAUUUGAGGCAUUCUACAAGAAGGAUCUAGCUAAGAGGCUGCUGCUGGGAAAGAGCGCAUCUAUAGAUGCUGAGAAAUCAAUGAUUACAAAGCUUAAAACUGAGUGCGGAAGUCAAUUUACCAACAAACUAGAGGGAAUGUUCAAGGACAUUGAAUUAUCCAAAGAAAUAAAUGAUUCUUUCAAGCAAUCAUCUCAGGCAAGGACAAAACUUCCGACUGGCAUUGAAAUGAGUGUACAUGUGCUUACAACAGGCUACUGGCCGACAUAUCCACCGAUGGAUGUGAAGCUCCCACAUGAACUCAAUGUCUAUCAGGAUAUAUUUAAAGAGUUCUAUUUGAGCAAGUACAGUGGAAGGCGUCUAAUGUGGCAGAAUUCUUUGGGUCAUUGUGUAUUAAAAGUAGAGUUCCCCAAAGGCAGAAAGGAACUUGCAGUGUCACUAUUUCAGAGUGUAGUCCUGAUGUUGUUCAACGAUGCACAAAAGCUAAGCUUUGUCGACAUAAAGGAGUCGACUGGUAUUGAGGAUAAAGAAUUGAGAAGAACACUCCAGUCACUUGCAUGUGGCAAAGUUAGGGUUCUCCAAAAGACACCAAAAGGACGAGAUAUAGAUGAUAAGGACGAAUUCGUAUUUAAUGAAGAUUUUAGUGCUCCCCUUUAUCGCAUAAAGGUGAAUGCAAUUCAGAUGAAGGAAACAGUAGAAGAAAACACAAGCACCACUGAGAGAGUAUUUCAAGAUCGUCAGUAUCAGGUUGAUGCAGCCAUAGUUCGAAUUAUGAAGACGAGGAAAACUCUCAGCCACACCCUUCUAAUAACUGAGCUUUUCCAGCAGCUCAAGUUCCCGAUUAAGCCAGCGGAUAUGAAGAAGAGAAUAGAGAGCCUAAUCGACAGGGAGUACCUGGAGAGAGACCGGAGUAACCCCCAGAUAUACAAUUAUCUGGCUUGA
rnacentral:rRNA from 1 species